rnacentral:tRNA from 1 species
GUGGUGGCUCAGUGAUAGAGCAUUCACUUAGCACGUGUGAGGUCCUGGGUUCGAUCCUCAGCACCACA